rnacentral:rRNA from 1 species
AGCGAACGCUGGCGGCAGGCCUAACACAUGCAAGUCGAACGAAGUCUUCGGACUUAGUGGCGGACGGGUGAGUAACACGUGGGAACGUGCCUUUAGGUUCGGAAUAACUCAGGGAAACUUGUGCUAAUACCGAAUGUGCCCUUCGGGGGAAAGAUGUUAUCGCCUUUAGAGCGGCCCGCUUUUGAUUAGCUAGUUGGUGUGGUAAAGGCUCACCAAGGCGACGAUCAGUAGCUGGUCUGAGAGGAUGAUCAGCCACAUUGGGACUGAGACACGGCCCAAACUCCUACGGGAGUCAGCAGUGGGGAAUCUUGCGCAAUGGGCGAAAGCCUGACGCAGCCAUGCCGCGUGAAUGAUGAAGGUCUUAGGAUUGUAAAAUUCUUUCACCGGGGACGAUAAUGACGGUACCCGGAGAAGAAGCCCCGGCUAACUUCGUGCCAGCAGCCGCAGUAAAAC